GAUGAAGAACGCUGCGAAAUGCGAUAAGUAAUGUGAAUUGCAGAAUUCAGUGAAUCAUCGAAUCUUUGAACGCACAUUGCGCCCCCUGGUAUUCCGGGGGGCAUGCCCGUCCGAGCGUCAUUACAACCCUCAAGCUCAGCUUGGUGUUGGGCCCCGCCGCCCCGGCGGGCCCUAAAGUCAGUGGCGGUGCCGUCCGGCUCCGAGCGUAGUAAUUCUUCUCGCUCUGGAGGUCCGGUCGUGUGCUCGCCAGCAACCCCCAAUUUUUUUCAGGUUGACCUCGGAUCAGGUAGGGAUACCCGCUGAACUUAAGCAUAUCAAUAAGCGGAGGA
rnacentral:misc_RNA from 1 species